rnacentral:rRNA from 1 species
GUAGGGAAUAUUGGGCAAUGGGCGCAAGCCUGACCCAGCAACGCCGCGUGAGGGAAGAAGGUUUUCGGAUUGUAAACCUCUGUCCUAUGUGACGAAGGAAGUGACGGUAGCAUAGGAGGAAGCCCCGGCUAACUACGUGCCAGCAGCCGCGGUAAUACGUAGGGGGCGAGCGUUGUCCGGAAUUACUGGGCGUAAAGGGUGCGUAGGCGGUUUGGUAAGUUGGAUGUGAAAUACCCGGGCUUAACUUGGGGGCUGCAUCCAAUACUGUCGGACUUGAGUGCAGGAGAGGAAAGCGGAAUUCCUAGUGUAGCGGUGAAAUGCGUAGAUAUUAGGAGGAACACCGGUGGCGAAGGCGGCUUUCUGGACUGUAACUGACGCUGAGGCACGAAAGCGUGGGGAGCAAACAGGAUUAGAAACCCCAGUAGUCC